rnacentral:rRNA from 1 species
UACAGAGGGUGCGAGCGUUAAUCGGAAUUACUGGGCGUAAAGCGUGCGUAGACGGUUAUUUAAGUCGGGUGUGAAAGCCCCGGGCUCAACCUGGGAAUUGCAUUCGAGACUGAAUAGCUAGGGUACGGUAGAGGGAAGUGGAAUUUCCGGUGUAGCGGUGAAAUGCGUAGAUAUCGGAAGGAACAUCAGUGGCGAAGGCGGUUGCCUGGGGCUUUGCUGACGCUGAUGCGCGAAAGCGUGGGGAGCGAUCCGG